rnacentral:rRNA from 1 species
UACAGAGGGGGCAAGCGUUAUUCGGAAUUAUUGGGCGUAAAGGGCGCGUAGGCGGUUCUUCAAGUCUCUCGUGAAAUCCCUCGGCUUAACUGAGGACGUGCGGGAGAUACUGAAGGGCUUGAGUCCGGAAGAGGGUGGUGGAAUUCCCAGUGUAGCGGUGAAAUGCGUAGAUAUUGGAAGGAACACCGGUGGCGAAGGCGGCCACCUGGGCCGGAACUGACGCUGAGGCGCGAAAGCGUGGGGAGCAAACGGG